UAAAUCCCAUUAUCCAGGAGGGUCCUGAAAACUUAAAAACUAAAUCCCAUUAUCCAGGAGAGUCCUGAAAACUUAAGCACUAAAUCCCAUUAUCCAGGCGGGUCCUGAACACUUAAAACUAAAUCCCAUUAUCCAGGCGGGUCCUGAAAACUCCUAAUUGGAUUCUAUCUCAAACAUGCAAACUUUUAAGUCAACUUAUAUUCCUUUGGGGUACAUUUAUGCCAGAUUAUGCUACCCACGUUGUUUUGAAUUUUAAACUAAGUCCCAUUUUCCAGGAGGGUCCUGUGAAUUUCAAAUUAAAUCCCAUUAUCCAGGUGGGUCCUGAAAAUCACAAGUCAACCUGUCUGGUGCUUGCCUUUCCCCGACGGAGGAUUUCUCCGGAACAAACAAAAUUUUCUGCCCCUGUUUCAAAUCAAAGAAAAAUUUUAUCAGUUUAAAAUAUGGUGGUUAGUUCGUGGCCUUGACUUUGAGGGCAGUUGCUCUUUUACCUCUCAUGAUAACUGAUUUCCACCCGAAGACCUUGCUUGUUCCUUGACUAAUCACUUUCUCUGCCAUCCUUAUCACAGAAAAUACCUCUUCUCCGUUCAGACCCAAUACCCUCUAUCUGUUGCAUUACUCAUGAACUGACAUUUACCAACCUUUAUGUCUCACAUGAAUCCCAAAGCACGUCAAUUACCAUACACUCAAUGUGCAUGAUGUUCUUUCCUGACUUAACCCACCGGCAUUGGCCUUGAGGUCUAUUGCUUCUUCACUUGCCCUGAUAACUUUGAUUUCUGCCUGGAAGACCUUGCUUGUCACUGGUUAAACACUUUCUUUGUUAAUCUUAUCACAGAAAAUACCUUUGAUCCGUUCACCCUACACCCUCCAUCUGUUGCAUUGUUCAUGAAUUGAUAUAUACCAAACCUUUGUAUUUUACAUGAAUCUCAAAACAUGUUGAUUUUUACCAACUCAGUGCGCACAUUGUUCUUUCCUAACUUAUACCACUUUGAUGUGCUGGCCAGAUCCCGUUUUGUGCAAUUAGAAAGUUGGUGGCAAAUUUUGAAGUCAUUUCUCACUUAUUUUGA
rnacentral:lncRNA from 1 species